rnacentral:tmRNA from 1 species
GGGGUUGUCAGGUUUCGACAGCGAGUGCGAUUGGUAGGUAAGCAUACCGAGUGUUGUGAAUAUGGCUCGUAAAUCCUAAUUCUCAAAAUCUAUAAAUGGCGAGUCUAACUACGCCCUUGCUGCUUAAUACUAGGUAUUAACUAGCAAUGUUGCCCGAGAAGCUUCGCUUCACAGCGUUUCGGUAGCAGCAUCACAAAUGUGAAGCUAGUUGGUGCAAGCUUCGAUGCAUCAAUUAAAUAAAGAAGAUAAGCUUGCAGUUGGUGUGUGAUUUUGCCUGCUGCUCGACGAAAAUCAAAAAGUCACUAAGUAUGUAGAAGGCUUAUUGAUUCCUUGUUUGGACGAGGGUUCGAUUCCCUCCAACUCCACAA